rnacentral:rRNA from 1 species
UGGGGAAUCUUGCACAAUGGGGGAAACCCUGAAGGAGCGACGCCGCGUGGGGGAUGAAGGGCUUCGGCCCGUAAACCCCUGUCAUUUGCGAACAAAUGUCAUGGUUGAACAUUCCAUGGCUUGAUUGUAGCGAAAGAGGAAGGGACGGCUAACUCUGUGCCAGCAGCCGCGGUAAUACAGAGGUCCCAAGCGUUGUUCGGAUUCACUGGGCGUAAAGGGUGCGCAGGUGGGUUGGCAAGUUUGAUGUGAAAGCCCCGGGCUUAACCCGGGAAUGGCAUUGAAUACUGUUGAUCUGGAGGAUUGGAGGGGGGACUGGAAUUCUUGGUGUAGCAGUGAAAUGCGUAGAUAUCAAGAGGAACACCAGUGGCGAAGGCGAGUCCCUGGACAAUUCCUGACACUGAGGCACGAAAGCUAGGGGAGCAAAC